CCUACGGGAGGCAGCAGUGAGGAAUAUUGGUCAAUGGUCGGGAGACUGAACCAGCCAAGCCGCGUGAGGGAUGAAGGUACAGAGUAUCGUAAACCUCUUUUGUCAGGGAACAAAGGCGGGGACGUGUCCCCGGAUGAGUGUACCUGAAGAAAAAGCAUCGGCUAACUCCGUGCCAGCAGCCGCGGUAAUACGGAGGAUGCGAGCGUUAUCCGGAUUUAUUGGGUUUAAAGGGUGCGCAGGCGGUCUGUUAAGUCAGCGGUCAAAGCCCGGGGCUCAACCCCGGCCCGCCGUUGAAACUGGCAGUCGCGAGUUGGAGAGAAGUAUGCGGAAUGCGCGGGGUAGCGGUGAAAUGCAUAGAUAUCGCGCAGAACUCCGAUUGCGAAGGCAGCAUGCCGGCUCCACACUGACGCUGAGGCACGAAAGCGUGGGUAUCGAACAGGAUUAGAUACCCUUGUAGUC
rnacentral:rRNA from 1 species